rnacentral:rRNA from 1 species
UACGUAGGGUGCGAGCGUUAGGCGGAAUCACUGGGCUUAAAGCGUGUGUAGGCGGAUGCCUAAGUGCUUUGUGAAAUCCCACGGCUCAACCGUGGAAUUGCUUGGCAUACUGGGUGUCUUGAGCCAUCUAGGGGCGAGCGGAACAAGUGGUGGAGCGGUGAAAUGCGUAGAUAUCACGUGGAACGCCAACGGUGAAAACAGCUCGCUGGGUAUGUGCUGACGCUGAGACACGAAAGCCAGGGGAGCGAACGGG